UAUAAUCUCUGCUCAUGAUGCCUGCAAUUCAUUUAAAAAUGAUUCAGAAAAGAAAAAAAAAUACAUACAUAUGAAGAUAAAGCGAAAAUGGCAAAAUAUUUACAAUUUGAACCUCAGUGAAAGCUUUUAAUGGACGUCAGCAGGUAUGAAGAGCCCAACCAGGUCCACAAAAUGAGGGUGGCUGCAGUUGACGUUAUUUCCGACCAUGGAAAUCAGGCCAGGGAUGCUGCCGCAUGUCUUCUCUCUACUUUCAGUCAUUCUAUAAACAUUUACUGAGCAGCUAUUAUGAAUGAGACCUCGACUAGGUGCUGGGCAUAUGAAGAUGAAAAGGAAAUGGCCAUCUUUCCCAUAUUUUCCUAUGGAAAGGAACCAUGGUGCACAGAAGAAAGCCCACAGACCCA